rnacentral:sRNA from 1 species
AUGGCUGUCGUCAGCUCGUGUCGUGAGAUGUUGGGUUAAGUCCCGCAACGAGCGCAACCCUUACUUUUAGUUGCUACCAUUCAGUUGGGCACUCUAAAAGAACUGCCAGUGAUAAGCUGGAGGAAGGUGGGGAUGACGUCAAGUCCUCAUGGCCCUUAUGUGUUGGGCUACACACGUGCUACAAUGGUAUUUACAGUGGGAUGCAAAGAGGCAACUCCAAGCCAACCCUCAAAAAAUACCUCAGUUCGGAUUGUACUCUGCAACUCGAGUACAUGAAGCUGGAAUUACUAGUAAUCGCGGAUCAGCGCGCCGCGGUGAAUACGUUCCCGGGUCUUGUACACACCGCCCGUCACACCAUGGAAGUUGGUUACACCUUAAGGCAAAGUGUAAAAUCUUUGACUACGGUACGAUCAGCGACUGGGGUGAAGUCGUAACAAGGUAGCCGUAGGGGAACCUGCGGCUGGAUCACCUCCUUUCUAAGGAAAUCGAGAAUAAUAUUUUCGAUUUAAAAAAAACCGGUAAUGUGACCGUCCUCAUUUCUCUUCUUUUAAUGUCUCUGAGUAAAAAUAAUGUAAGGGGCCGGUAGCUCAGGUGGUUAGAGCGCACCCCUGAUAAGGGUGAGGUCGGAAGUUCGAAUCUUCCUCGGCCCACCAAUAUUACGGGGGAUUAGCUCAGCUGGGAGAGCGCCUGAUUUGCAUUCAGGAGGUCAGCGGUUCGAUCCCGCUAUCCUCCACCAAAAAUUGAGACAUUUAGCUUUUUUAAAUUGUGAAUAUUAUUAUCAAUAUCUAUAUCCGAUUGUUUUCGGAAAUUAUUACUGAAAACAAUCAAAACAAAAAUUUAAUUUAUUACAGAAAAAAUUUUUUUCUGUGCAUAAAUCAAGCGUUUAAGGGCGAUUGGCGGAUGCCUUGGCACUGUAAGACGAUGAAGGACGUGGUAUACUGCGAUAAGUUUCGGGGAGCUGUAUGCAGGCUUUGAUCCGAAAAUUUCCGAAUGGGGAAACCCGG